AGAGUUUGAUCAUGGCUCAGAAUCAACGCUGGCGGCGUGCCUAACACAUGCAAGUCGAACGCGAAAGCCCUUUCGGGGGUAAGUAGAGUGGCGUCCGGGUGAGUAACACGUAGGUAAUCUACCUUCGGGUGGGGAAUAACUCGCCGAAAGGCGAGCUAAUACCGCAUAAUGCAGCGGCACCUAAUGGUGAUUAGUUGUUAAAGCGGGGGAUCGCAAGACCUCGCGCCUGAAGAGGAGCCUGCGGCAGAUUAGCUAGUUGGUGAGGUAAUGGCUCACCAAGGCUUCGAUCUGUAGCUGGUCUGAGAGGACGGCCAGCCACACUGGCACUGACACACGGGCCAGACUCCUACGGGAGGCAGCAGUGGGGAAUUUUGGGCAAUGGGCGCAAGCCUGACCCAGCAACGCCGCGUGAGGGAGGAAAUCCUUCGGGAUGUAAACCUCACAAGCAAGGGAAGAGAGCUCAGGGCCGAAUAAGUCCUGAGUCCGACGGUACCUGCGAAGUC
rnacentral:rRNA from 1 species